rnacentral:lncRNA from 1 species
AUGGGUUUUAUGGAGCUACAGAACUGUAUAAUAGUGUUUCAGGACACUCUGGUUAGUAGCAGAAUGCCUCAGAGCGGCUACACUGCGUACCGCUACACUCAGCCGGCGGCAGUAGCGAGUCCCACAGCGGCGGCGGCAGCGGCUUACAGCGUAUGGAGUCGGUGCGAUGGCCACUCUCUACAGAGGAGGAUACAGCCGGUUCUCGCCAUAUUAACACACUUCCAGAUCUGCUGUCUCUCUGAACUCCACCAACAGCUGCUGACCUCGGAGGGAAAAAUCCAAUCACACUCUUGGACACACACAAAAAAAAAGACGAACGACGUCUUCCAAGAAGGUGGAUCUCUUUUUUUGUUGUUUUUAAAGGAAACCUGA